AAGUCGUAACAAGGUUUCCGUAGGUGAACCUGCGGAAGGAUCAUUAAAAGGUUUAUCUGGGGGGUGGGUGAAACCCCCCCGGAAAACUCCACCCUUGUGUAUUAUUACUUGUUGCUUUGGUGGGCCGCGAGAUUGCCUAGCGAUUGAGCACCGGCUUCGGCUGGAGAGCGCCUGCCAGAGGACCAAACUCUGUUAUUUAUGUCGUCUGAGUACUAUUUAAUAGUUAAAACUUUCAACAACGGAUCUCUUGGUUCUG
rnacentral:misc_RNA from 1 species